GCUUAACACAUGCAAGUCGAGCGGUAACAGAGAUAGCUUGCUAUCUGCUGACGAGCGGCGGACGGGUGAGUAAUGCUUGGGAAUAUGCCUUAUGGUGGGGGACAACAGUUGGAAACGACUGCUAAUACCGCAUAACGUCUACGGACCAAAGGGGGGGAUCUUCGGACCUCUCGCCAUUUGAUUAGCCCAAGUGAGAUUAGCUAGUUGGUGAGGUAAUGGCUCACCAAGGCGACGAUCUCUAGCUGGUUUGAGAGGAUGAUCAGCCACACUGGGACUGAGACACGGCCCAGACUCCUACGGGAGGCAGCAGUGGGGAAUAUUGCACAAUGGGCGAAAGCCUGAUGCAGCCAUGCCGCGUGUGUGAAGAAGGCCUUCGGGUUGUAAAGCACUUUCAGUAAGGAGGAAAGGGAUGUAGUUAAUAGCUGCAUUCUGUGACGUUACUUACAGAAGAAGCACCGGCUAACUUCGUGCCAGCAGCCGCGGUAAUACGAGGGGUGCAAGCGUUAAUCGGAAUUACUGGGCGUAAAGCGUUCGUAGGCGGUCUAUUAAGCAAGAUGUGAAAGCCCAGGGCCUCAACCUUGGGAACUGCAUUUUGAACUGGUAGACUAGAGUACUGUAGAGGGUGGUGGAAUUUCCAGUGUAGCGGUGAAAUGCGUAGAGAUUGGAAGGAACAUCAGUGGCGAAGGCGGCCACCUGGACAGAUACUGACGCUUAAGGAAC
rnacentral:rRNA from 1 species